GAUGAAGAACGUAGCGAAAUGCGAUAAGUAAUGUGAAUUGCAGAAUUCAGUGAAUCAUCGAAUCUUUGAACGCACAUUGCGCCCCUUGGUAUUCCGAGGGGCAUGCCCGUUCGAGCGUCAUUAUACCCCUCAAGCCUAGCUUGGUGUUGGGGCCUGCUGUUACCGGCAGCCCUUAAAAUCAGUGGCGGUGCCAUCUGGCUCUAAGCGUAGUAAUACUUCUCGCUACAGGGUCCCGGUGGAUGCUUGCCAUCAACCCCUAAUUUUCUAUGGUCGACCUCGGAUCGGGUAGGGAUACCCGCUGAACUUAAGCAUAUCAAUAAGCGGAGGA
rnacentral:misc_RNA from 1 species